rnacentral:rRNA from 1 species
CCGCGGGAAUUCGAUUAGAGUUUGAUCCUGGCUCAGAUUGAACGCUGGCGGCAUGCCUAACACAUGCAAGUCGAACGAGGUGUGGCAACACACCUAGUGGCGGACGGGUGAGUAAUGCAUAGGAAUCUGCCCUGUAGUGGGGGAUAGUCCGGGGAAACCCGGUUUAAUACCGCAUACGACCUACGGGUGAAAGAGGGGGAUCGCAAGACCUCUCGCUAUAGGAUGAGCCUAUGUCGGAUUAGCUAGUUGGUGAGGUAACGGCUCACCAAGGCGACGAUCCGUAGCUGGUCUGAGAGGACGACCAGCCACACCGGAACUGAGACACGGUCCGGACUCCUACGGGAGGCAGCAGUGGGGAAUAUUGGACAAUGGGCGCAAGCCUGAUCCAGCAAUGCCGCGUGUGUGAAGAAGGCCUUCGGGUUGUAAAGCACUUUAAGCAGGGAAGAAAAAGCCUGACCUAAUACGUCAGGCCUUGACGGUACCUGCAGAAUAAGCACCGGCUAACUUCGUGCCAGCAGCCGCGGUAAUACGAAGGGUGCAAGCGUUAAUCGGAUUUACUGGGCGUAAAGCGUGCGUAGGCGGUUCAGUAUGUCGGUCGUGAAAUCCCCGGGCUUAACCUGGGAAUUGCGGCCGAAACUGCUGGGCUAGAGUGUGGUAGAGGGCGGUGGAAUUCCAGGUGUAGCGGUGAAAUGCGUAGAUAUCUGGAGGAACACCAAUGGCGAAGGCAGCCGCCUGGGCCAUAACUGACGCUGAGGUACGAAAGCGUGGGGAGCAAACAGGAUUAGAUACCCUGGUAGUCCACGCUGUAAACGAUGAGAACUAGACGUCGGUCAGCUUGGCUGAUCGGUGUCGUAGCUAACGCGCUAAGUUCUCCGCCUGGGGUGUACGGCCGC